UUUAAAAAAAAGGGCACUUUCUCUCGAGGAAGAAAAAGAGCAGGGGCUCAAGCCCCCUCUUAUGUCCAUAGACAGUAAAAGAAAUGACAUAAAGACAUAAACUCUUAUGUCAGAGUGUGCACGUGACUGCUUGUAAAAGACAUGCAUGGUACAUCUGGAUUGGUCAAGCAGCUUGGUCAUUUGCAUAGACCACACCCUGUAGACUUUCUAAGUCAUCGAGUGUCUGUUCUUUUCACAUCAAACAACGGGAUUGAAAGUGUGCAGGCAGCUGCGACCGCUCUGUAUCAACUCAUAACUUUUACAGGAAGCCACAGGACAUCACAAAGCCUAAACAAUGGCAACUUGGUCAAACGUAGACAGGGAAGUGAAUGAAGAGUGGUGGGAGAAAGCAUACAAGUUGUUUCUUGAAACUGAUCCAAUAGAAACGAUUCUCGAGCAUUCUACCUAUUAUAUGACAGGAAAUAACUGGAAUGAUUAUGGAUUCAGCUGUGACACACAUGUUCCUCCUACUGGGACAGUCCAUGAGGUUACUAAAAGAGCAAUUUUGGUGGUGAUUUCAAGAAAAAGGAGAAUGGAUUGGAAUGAUUGGAAGAGUAUACAUGAGCCAUCUUCUAAAUCUGAUGUACAGGAUCUGAACGAAAAUCACAAGAAAUUAAUAAACUGUGUUACUGACCUGAUCUAUAAAGAGGGCGGCAGCCCGAGACCAUUUAAUAAAUAGGCUGAACACUA